rnacentral:rRNA from 1 species
GAUGAACGCUGGCGGCGUGCCUAAUACAUGCAAGUCGAGCGAACGGACUAGAAGCUUGCUUCUCUGAUGUUAGCGGCGGACGGGUGAGUCACACGUGUAUAACCUACCUAUAAGACUGGGAUAACUUCGGGAAACCGUAGCUAAUACCGUAUAAUAUUUUGAACCGCAUGGUGCAAAAGUGAAAGACGGUCUUGCUGUCACUUAUAGAUGGAUCCGCGCUGCAUUAGCUAGUUGGUAAGGUAACGGCUUACCAAGGCAACGAUGCAUAGCCGACCUGAGAGGGUGAUAGGCCACCCUGGAACUGAGACACGGUCCAGACUCCUACGGGAGGCAGCAGUAGGGAAUCUUCCGCAAUGGGCGAAAGCCUGACGGAGCAACGCCGCGUGAGUGAUGAAGGUCUUCGGAUCGUAAAACUCUGUUAUUAGGGAAGAACAUAUGUGUAAGUAACUGUGCACAUCGUGACGGUACCUAAUCAGAAAGCCACGGCUAACUACGUG